rfam:Mycobacterium abscessus strain PAP053 genome assembly, contig: ERS075544SCcontig000049
UCUGCGGAACGCUUCCUUGUGGUCUCACAAGGAACAACUCGUGUCAAUGUCCUUUUCCGUUAAGCGAGGAACGAGUAGGAAAAGAGAAACGUUCACCAGUCGGAACGAAUGGGAAUAGAACGUUUAAUUGACUCGUGUUGAGUGCAGCAGA